rnacentral:lncRNA from 1 species
GAGAAUUUUCUGGCCGAGAAUAUUCUCGUUCUCGAGAAUAUUCUCUUGAGAGUAUUCUCUUCUAACAUCACUACAUAUUAUGAUACAUAUAAGCAUGCUAAUAACCGGCAAAAUAACGUAAAAGGUGGAAAACAAUACAUUGUGUAAGGGCCGGUUUUUCAGUGCUGGGUUAACCCAGAUUUUUCGGUCACCGAAAUGUUUAUGGUUAAUCAGUUUUUCAGUACUAGGUUAUCGCUUAAACCCGUUUAAGUUGACCAAGAUUUUAACCGAUACUCGCUAUCAUAGGUGGUUUAACUCCGAAUUUUCCGACAGACGUUUAUAUUUGCUGACAGAAGAGGUUAGUUAAAUUAUGACAUUUUGUGUUUAUCGCGGGAAAUAUUGUAUUAUGUAUUAUUAUAUUCUAUAAUUACUUUCAUCGCGACAAUAAUCCAUUUUACCUCGUUAUUUUUUAUUAUUAAAUUUAGAAAUUAUUAUCAUUAUCUAGGAAGGAAUUAUAACUAACAGGUAUGUUUACAUUAUUAUAUUUUAGAUUGGGUCUAUUGAAUAUAAAUAAGUAUAAUAAAAAUGUGUAUGUAUAGCUUAUGUACUUUUAGUAAUUAUGUACUUGAAAAUAACAGAGACUUGGUUUAAUUGUCCUAUAUUGGUGUAAGUUCAUUUUUUAAUUAAGUGUACUUUAGUCAGUAUGAAUGGACAAACAAAUAAUAUGCGGUCCUUCACAAAAACUUCACUGAAUGUGAAGUCACCCUAUUGGUGGACUUGGUGAACCAGCACAAGAAGAUAUUGGAAUGCAAAGAGACGGGCAUUGUUAGUAAUAAGCAGAAGUCUUAUGAAUGGGUAGAGCUUGCCGUUAAGUUUAAUGCUAAGUCUACUGCUGGAAUACCCCGCUCAGCAAAAAUCUUAAAGGAGAAGUGGACAAAUUUUUAAAAACCGCUGUAAAAAAUCACGGCAAAGAUAAGAGACACUGUAGAGCUACAGGUGGGGGUCCAUCGAAGCCAGCUGAGGAAACACCAGUUGACUGUGUUAUCAACGACAUAUUGGGUGAGCGAAAGACAGGAAUGCUAGCAGAGUGUGAUUCUGAUAUUAUUCAAACAGGCAAGUAUUGUAUGACAUUUAAAAUUUAGCCAUUUUAAUUAUGAGUUUUUUAGAACUUACGGCAGCGGACUUGUUUGUGAAUGAGAAUAAUGAGGAUGGUGUAGUGGAAAUACUUUAAAUAGAAAUAGAAGCGGAAGAAAUAUCAGAGGCAGAAAAUAAGCCAAAUAUAAAUGAAUCACCUUUAGAUUUAUUAAAUCCUGAUGGAGAUUGGUCUGAUUAUACACCAUCAAAACUGAAACAACCAGUGGCAAAGGAACUAAAGGAAAAAAAAGUAAGUUUUUUGACAAAAAUAAUAUUAUGAAUUUAAUGGAUUCAAUUGUAGGAAAGGUAACUGGGAGUACCACAAAAGCAAAAUGGUGCAAGGUGGCUGAAGCCAAAUUAGAAUUAUACCGGUUGAAAAAGCAAGCACUGCUAGCCGAUCACAAUAGAAAGAAGGACUUGCAUGACCUCCAAGUCAAAUAUCUAAAAGAAGAACACGAUUUAAAAAUGAGUUUAUUACGAGGAGAGCAGCAGCCACAAACCAAAAAAAUGUAAUAAAUAAAUAAAAUCUUUCUUUUGUAUGUAUUUUA